rnacentral:tRNA from 1 species
GUCUUGGUAGCGUAGGGGAUAAGAGCACGGUCCCCGGAAAGGACAGGUGCGGGUUCGAGUCCCGUCCGAGACU